rnacentral:rRNA from 1 species
AAUCCAUAGGUUAAUGAGGCGAACCGGGGGAACUGAAACAUCUAAGUACCCCGAGGAAAAGAAAUCAACCGAGAUUCCCCCAGUAGCGGCGAGCGAACGGGGAGGAGCCCAGAGCCUGAAUCAGCAUGUGUGUUAGUGGAAGCGUCUGGAAAGGCGCGCGAUACAGGGUGACAGCCCCGUACACAAAAGCGCAUGUGCUGUGAGCUCGAUGAGUAGGGCGGGACACGUGGUAUCCUGUCUGAAUAUGGGGGGACCAUCCUCCAAGGCUAAAUACUCCUGACUGACCGAUAGUGAACCAGUACCGUGAGGGAAAGGCGAAAAGAACCCCGGCGAGGGGAGUGAAAAAGAACCUGAAACCGUGUACGUACAAGCAGUGGGAGCACCCUUUGGGGUGUGACUGCGUACCUUUUGUAUAAUGGGUCAGCGACUUAUAUUCUGUAGCAAGGUUAACCGAAUAGGGGAGCCGGAGGGAAACCGAGUCUUAAUUGGGCGUUAAGUUGCAGGGUAUAGACCCGAAACCCGGUGAUCUAGCCAUGGGCAGGUUGAAGGUUGGGUAACACUAACUGGAGGACCGAACCGACUAAUGUUGAAAAAUUAGCGGAUGACCUGUGGCUGGGGGUGAAAGGCCAAUCAAACCGGGAGAUAGCUGGUUCUCCCCGAAAGCUAUUUAGGUAGCGCCUCGUGAAUUCAUCUCCGGGGGUAGAGCACUGUUUCGGCUAGGGGGCCAUCCCGGCUUACCAACCCGAUGCAAACUGCGAAUACCGGAGAAUGUUAUCACGGGAGACACACGGCGGGUGCUAACGUCCGUCGUGAAGAGGGAAACAACCCAGACCGCCAGCUAAGGUCCCAAAGUCAUGGUUAAGUGGGAAACGAUGUGGGAAGGCCCAGACAGCCAGGAUGUUGGCUUAGAAGCAGCCAUCAUUUAAAGAAAGCGUAAUAGCUCACUGGUCGAGUCGGCCUGCGCGGAAGAUGUAACGGGGCUAAACCAUGCACCGAAGCUGCGGCAGCGAACGUAUCACCCAAGACAACUUUACGGAGUUGACGAUUGACGGAGCGAAGCGACGUCAAAGCGUUCAUUAAAGUCGAGUUGGCUUAGGGAUACGUUCGUUGGGUAGGGGAGCGUUCUGUAAGCCUGUGAAGGUGGCCUGUGAGGGUUGCUGGAGGUAUCAGAAGUGCGAAUGCUGACAUAAGUAACGAUAAAGCGGGUGAAAAGCCCGCUCGCCGGAAGACCAAGGGUUCCUGUCCAACGUUAAUCGGGGCAGGGUGAGUCGACCCCUAAGGCGAGGCCGAAAGGCGUAGUCGAUGGGAAACGGGUUAAUAUUCCCGUACUUGGUGUUACUGCGAAGGGGGGACGGAGAAGGCUAUGUUGGCCGGGCGACGGUUGUCCCGGUUUAAGCGUGUAGGUGUGUGUUCCAGGUAAAUCCGGUUCACUUUAACACUGAGGCGUGACGACGAGGCACUACGGUGCUGAAGCAACAAAUGCCCUGCUUCCAGGAAAAGCCUCUAAGCAUCAGGUAACAUCAAAUCGUACCCCAAACCGACACAGGUGGUCAGGUAGAGAAUACCAAGGCGCUUGAGAGAACUCGGGUGAAGGAACUAGGCAAAAUGGUGCCGUAACUUCGGGAGAAGGCACGCUGACACGUAGGUGAAGUGAUUUACUCAUGGAGCUGAAGUCAGUCGAAGAUACCAGCUGGCUGCAACUGUUUAUUAAAAACACAGCACUGUGCAAACACGAAAGUGGACGUAUACGGUGUGACGCCUGCCCGGUGCCGGAAGGUUAAUUGAUGGGGUCAGCGCAAGCGAAGCUCCUGAUCGAAGCCCCGGUAAACGGCGGCCGUAACUAUAACGGUCCUAAGGUAGCGAAAUUCCUUGUCGGGUAAGUUCCGACCUGCACGAAUGGCGUAAUGAUGGCCAGGCUGUCUCCACCCGAGACUCAGUGAAAUUGAACUCGCUGUGAAGAUGCAGUGUACCCGCGGCAAGACGGAAAGACCCCGUGAACCUUUACUAUAGCUUGACACUGAACAUUGAGCCUUGAUGUGUAGGAUAGGUGGGAGGCUUUGAAGUGUGGACGCCAGUCUGCAUGGAGCCGACCUUGAAAUACCACCCUUUAAUGUUUGAUGUUCUAACGUGGACCCGUAAUCCGGGUUGCGGACAGUGUCUGGUGGGUAGUUUGACUGGGGCGGUCUCCUCCUAAAGAGUAACGGAGGAGCACGAAGGUUGGCUAAUCCUGGUCGGACAUCAGGAGGUUAGUGCAAUGGCAUAAGCCAGCUUGACUGCGAGCGUGACGGCGCGAGCAGGUGCGAAAGCAGGUCAUAGUGAUCCGGUGGUUCUGAAUGGAAGGGCCAUCGCUCAACGGAUAAAAGGUACUCCGGGGAUAACAGGCUGAUACCGCCCAAGAGUUCAUAUCGACGGCGGUGUUUGGCACCUCGAUGUCGGCUCAUCACAUCCUGGGGCUGAAGUAGGUCCCAAGGGUAUGGCUGUUCGCCAUUUAAAGUGGUACGCGAGCUGGGUUUAGAACGUCGUGAGACAGUUCGGUCCCUAUCUGCCGUGGGCGCUGGAGAACUGAGGGGGGCUGCUCCUAGUACGAGAGGACCGGAGUGGACGCAUCACUGGUGUU